UGCCCAGCAACUCCUAUCCCUACCUCCUCGCGGUACCGGCCGGAAACUAUGACCAACCUUAGGAAAGAUCGGAUAACCAACCCCGGUGGGAACUUUGGUCGUAGGCUGACAGGGAAGG
rnacentral:ribozyme from 1 species